GCUCCGUUGGUCAAAUGGUCAAGACGCCACACUUUCUAUGUGGAACUAAGGGUUCGAUUCCCUUACGGAGUA
rnacentral:tRNA from 1 species